rnacentral:rRNA from 1 species
GGCUCAGAUUGAACGCUGGCGGCAUGCUUUACACAUGCAAGUCGAACGGCAGCACAGGGAGCUUGCUCCCGGGUGGCGAGUGGCGCACGGGUGAGUAAUACAUCGGAACGUGUCCUGUUGUGGGGGAUAACUGCUCGAAAGGGUGGCUAAUACCGCAUGAGACCUGAGGGUGAAAGCGGGGGAUCGCAAGACCUCGCGCAAUUGGAGCGGCCGAUGCCCGAUUAGCUAGUUGGUGAGGUAAAGGCUCACCAAGGCGACGAUCGGUAGCUGGUCUGAGAGGACGACCAGCCACACUGGGACUGAGACACGGCCCAGACUCCUACGGGAGGCAGCAGUGGGGAAUCUUCCGCAAUGGGCGAAAGCCUGACGGAGCAACGCCGCGUGAACGAUGAAGGUCUUAGGAUCGUAAAGUUCUGUUGUUAGGGACGAAGGGCAAGGGUUAUAAUACAGCCUUUGUUUGACGGUACCUAACGAGGAAGCCACGGCUAACUACGUG